GGAUAUAGCUCAGUUGGUAGAGUGCUUGCCUUGCAUGCACAAGGCCCUGGGCUCAAUACUCAGCACCA
rnacentral:tRNA from 1 species